UAAAAAUAUUUAAUGUUUAUUAAUAGUUAAAUAAAAUUAAGAAUAUAUUUAAAGAAUAGCAAAUUAGUUAAAAAUAUUGAAAAACACUUAAAUUUUAAAACAAAAAAAUAGUAAACUGUAAUAACUUCCAAGCUCUAAUGUCCACGUAAUCUUUUACUCAAAUAAACGACUUCGUUUGUUUGAAAUUAAACGUCUUAUCCACUAAAGUCAUUCCUUAUCCUAUGGAUAUUUUACUUUUUUUGAGUAAUACUUAAAGUGAUCAUAAUAGAAAAGUACAAAAAAAUUUUACCAAAGACAAUAUUUCUCAAAAAGGUCUAUAUCACUAUCACAUAAUCGCCGUUCCGAUAAUUGUCCUACGCAGAGUUAUACUUCCGGGAAUAAUUAUUUUUUCAUAAUGGUCAUAUGCUAUACUUCCUAACAGCUAAAGCUCCUACUAGUUUCAAGGCCUUCUUUCACGGAACUAAUUGCUUUUACGAAAUGGUUGACAGUGCACAUUAAAUUUAGACCAUUUUCUAGAACGAAUGCCUCAAAAGAAGAGCCACGUUCCGAAGAUCUAUGUAUAGUUACUUAACUCACAAUGUGCUAUAGAAUAAUAUCUUCUCAUUCUUUAUAUAUACAUGUAUAUAUUAUUUGUAUUAUUAUAUAUAUAUGUCGAAUUAUCAUUAGGUUUACGGGCGUGUAACGAAUCUUCAUUUGGACUAGCCAUCGUCGUUGUACAAUAGAGAUUAUAUUUACUGGUAUAAAUAUGGUUUUUACAGAAUUUGACAAAUAACCGUGGUGAUUAGACACUCGAGAUGUUCUUAGGUUCAAUAACGAAUCCACGGUCAACGAGAUAAGUCUUUGUUAAACGCAAAAUAUAUUUUGAAGCACAAAACAACGUUUGCUGGGACUCUCGGUAUAUACUGCCCGUAAAGACGAUGUGAAACUCUCUAAGGAGAUCGCACGAAUAAAAGAUUGAUGAAAACUUUCCUCUCCUUACGAUUGCGUUCGUUUGUUGUAUAUUGGUCGGGGAUACCAACAAAAUUCCAACCGCCGUUGCUAGGCAGUCCCGCGUAGCGGCGACAUUGUUUCUGCCCGGAGUUUGAUUGUUAAUACAACGUGUGUCCCAUAAUAUUGACACUUCUGAGGCAAAACCACACAUGACUUGAUUUGUCCUCGAGCCCGUGUGCCGCUACAACUAUAUUUUUUUAAGGAGAACUAUACAACUACUCCAUACCUCUGUUAGGUAAAAACGUACAUCCCGUGACCGUGACUACGUUCAGCGACCAGUUGUGUCACCUCGAGCCCAAGCCCACUGUCACAAAUCUCGGAAAAACAUCGGAUUAAAUCAUAAACAGCUACUUCUAAGUUUUAUUAUUUAAGUACAGCUAUAAUAAAUAAUCUAGACUAAAGUAUUGGGGAUCUUCCCAAAAAUUCCAAAAGAAAGGUCCCGAUGUCCUUUCAUCUCCGACAUAUAUAUGUUAUAUUUAGAACUAAUUUAUAUCUAUAGAUAACACUCUUCGCCUCGAGUCAUAUUUACUAUAUAUUCAAUCAAUUAUCAAUAAAUCUUAAUAUUUAAUAGAUCGCUUUUUAAGGCAACUAUUCAUACUAUGUACGUACUAAUUGCUUAGCAACGUAACUGUUUAGUAACAUAAAAUGUAUAUUUACAAUAAAUGUCUUGUAAUUUUUCUAUCUAUUUCCAGAUCGAUUUUAAAUUUUACUACCAAUAUUAUGAUAGUUGUACCUUAUUACAAUACUAUUGAAAUUUGAAAAACUUUUGUAUAACACAUAUUCAUAAAAAUUGUCUACGAUAAAUGUUGAAAUAGUUCCACGUGUCACACUACAGCCUCUAAUUGUAAGUCUAACAGUUUCCUCGAGUUCUAUGAACCUCUAAAGGCCACAUUUAUAAUUCGCUUGCAUUUUAACGCAAAUACUUUAGAGCGCGUGUCAUUUUUAAAAAUGAACCCGUGUGUACGACCGCGUAGUAACAUAUCCAACAUAGGAAUUUCCGGUCCAUGCAUGACCGCGUUCGCAAUCGAUGUUAGAACGAAUCUGAACGAGGUAAACCACCCUAUUGCUGGCACUUGACCAACCAUUGGCUCAUAUGUUUAUUAACGCACGAUAGAAGAAUAUAACGCGCAUCUAAACGAUUUCAUAACGCAAUUGCAGCGAGGAGAACGUCGUGCUUUGCAUGCCAAUCCGUCCUCGAGAUUUAACGCUGACAUCUUGUUGAGUUCAUCCGUUAGAUAUGGUCAGUUCAUUAUGUGGCGUACAGGAAGAUCCACGCGAUCAAUAGCGAGCUUGUCUUCCGGGAAAAGUGAUACGUAACGUGAAAUAUGGCGGAAAUUAUUAUUAGAAUAUAAAUUUGAAAAUUUUCGAAUGAUUAAUCAGAGGUUGGUUAUAUAGCAAUUUGGAGAAAUGAGAUUUAUUAUUGCAAUUUGUUGCGUUGGAAGAAUAGUUUUGGUGAUACCGAAUAAUUGAAAUUAAUUGUUUCUCUUUUGGAACAUACUUUUAUACGUUAAGUAUAAUAUUUAACAAUUUUGGAAAUGUCCGUUUAAAUGGUUUAAAUGGCAAUAAAUUUGUUUAAUAACUUGUUCGAACUUGCAGGAAACAUUUACCCAACAAAUGUGUUGAUAAACGAUUCUCAAGAAGCAUAAUUAUCACCUAUCCGCAAUUUUUAAAACGUAACAACGCUACACAUUUUUGUCUUGUUUGAUAAUUUUCAGACAAAGAUAUAAAUUGUUGUACGUUUUCCCUUCCAUCAUUUGGAUACUCAACCAGAGGUGUCAUUAUGGAUAACGUACAUAACGAUUGUUCAUUUGUCGCUAUGCAUUAAAAAGCGUUAAUAACGCGAAACAUUUCUCAAGAUAAGAUGUUACGAGAUAGAAAGAAAUUGUAUUAAGUAGCAUUAAAUUGUUUCAAAUAUUCGAUACACGAACUGGUGAACGUAUCCGCUCCGGAAAUGGAGGCGUUUUGAAGAUUACUCCUACUUCUUUAAAUCGAACUAUAUAUUCUUUGAUGCAAACUACUUGCGACGUAUACAAAUGAAAACGUAUUGAAACAGAAGCAAGUAACAGACGUUUUGCACUGAUAAUCAGAAACUAUUAUAUGCAGCAACGUACGGUAACUCGGUUACGUUGAUUUGUAAUUAACUUAUCUUUAACGAUGAUAUGGAUUACUCAUAAUAUAUGUACACAAGAUAUAAAAACUAUUUAAAAGCUUAACAAGCAGUAAAUUCGCGUUGUCAGCACAACCGAGUCGUCACGUACGCUAGCGUAUAGAAAUUUCAAUCAACCACGUGUCCAUUUCAUAAACUGCUAAAACUUCAAAGAGUAAGAAAUAUUUUAGACUACUCAUCAGAGAAUAACUAUGCUGACGAACUACCAUGUAAUGUACGCUAUAAUGUACGAAAGUCUAAUUAUUUACACGCGUUGUUGUUACCAUGUUAAUCAAAUGCCACAAUGCGAGCUAUUGAAACAUGGAAAGAUAAUGAGAAACGUUUAAAGAUACGAUAAGUAAUAGACUUGCUACCCUGACGCACAGCAACUAUUGUAUACGCUAGUGUAGAAGAACUCGGUCAUUCAUACUCAGGGAUCGUUAUCAUGCUAGCGCGUCAGUGUUUCACAAUACGAUCCGAUGAGGCGUGUACGGACAAAGAGGAACGUUUAAAAACACGGCAAAAUCCACUGUAUCGUGUUCACCGAUAGAAUUAUUCAUGCUGGGUUGUUACGUUGAAACGAACGUUUCUUCUAAUUGCUAUAAAUUAUUCGACGUAACGAAGCUUCGUGAUUUCAACGGUGAUCUUUGGUGCUUUAAUAAUACAUCGAUAAAAUAAAUAAUUCAGCUGGAUCCUCAUCGCAGAAGACGAAGAAAUAAAAUUGAGAAACGUUUCGAGGAAGUUGAAAGGCAUAAAAUCCCGUUUCCGCUGAAAUUACACUUCUUUCGUAUAUUGUUCCACUUCCUGGCGAAUUACCAUGCCGUUUAUUAACAAACUUGGCCACCGUAGUUUAAGGAUUCUUGGUAGAAUCUCGAGGGCAAAAUAAAAAUAUAUGUUGCGAGGAUGAGUUAUGAAAAUAGAUAGAAAUACUAGUAACUUCGAAAGCUUUAUAUUCGGAUAGAUAUUUAACUUUUUAGUAAAGAUUUUGAGAAUCUUUUUAGAUAUCACUUUUCAAUAAAAUAUAAACAUUCAUAUUUCAUACAUUGUCUUACUUUCGGAAAUUGAAGAGUACCUCGUUUUUAAAACGUAUCAUAUAUUAUCAUUUCAAAGAUAUUGUGCUGUUUAAUCAAUUUUAGAUUAAUAAGCGUCAAUAAACAUUUCUUUCGAAAAUAAUGUUCGUAAUUAAAAUGGAGUAUUUAACGAUUUUAAGAACUCGAAGAAGAUGAUCGUCGAUACCGUGAUAAAUAAUUCAACAACCGCGCAGGAUUUCCGUCGAAGAAAUUUAAAAUCAUUUCGACGAAGCUAAGGACCGUAAAGUUUUACAGAAAUCAUAAUUCCUUUCCACGUUUACGCGAAAGAGUAAUAAACCAUUUAUUGGUGAAACUUUCGAGUGAUUGCGUUUUAUUACGAGUUAACGCGGCAUUGUGUGUUUAACUACUUCGUCUAAACAAUCUUUCGUAUUUCAGAAAAUAACUAAGUGUAUCGUAACGAGAACUUUUGUUGAAAAAACAGAUCUUAAGAAAUUUUAAAAGUUAAGAUGUGUAUCCUUCCAAUUUUACUGAAGAGCUUCAGGAUUUUUAAUUAUAUAGCACUUCCAUGUAAAUUAUCUAUUCUUGAAAAUUAUAUUAAAUUGAUUACUCGUAAAUGAUAUUAUUGUGACAUACUACAACUCCAAAGCAGCAAAAUAAAAUGAUUUCACCGGAAGAAUAUGAAAACAAUUUCUAAGAAUAAAGUAUAACAAUCCAAUCUGAGAAAAACAAAAAUCAUCAUUCUAAGUAAAUAGCAUAGUGCUUGCCAAUAAAUGUCUCUUCUGAAUAUAAUAUUCGAGACUAUAAAUUAUCACGAUCUCCAUUAGGAAAACGAGAAGUCAUUCCGAAGAAAUUCGGAAACAGUAAAUCCUGCGAUCACUGAGGCAUCUUCGAGAAAACCGAUUAUCUUGGGAAUAACUGAGAAUAUUUCAUUUACUCAUUCUCACAUGACAAUUGUUCUUAUCUCAAAUGAGUAACCAAUUAAAGAUUUCGAAAGAUACACUUCCAGUAGAAAAAACGAAUUUAUUUAUCAAAUGUCUCACAUUAAAACAAUGAUUAAAAAUAACGAAAUUGCGUUUGAUGUUUUAUUUUUGAGAAAAUUGGCUCCCGAAACUUGUAUACACAUAUUUGACUAAUUUCCGACUGGACGAAUAUAUUUUUCUUAUAACUUUUUAAUAAAGCAUUUGUAUUCCCUUAUUCUUGCACAUAAAAUAUGCUGUACAGUUGUCUAGAAAGAAAGCCUGAAAUACUCUGUAUAUGUAUUUCUUGGCAAAGAUCGAAACUGCACGUAAAUAAUGAAAUAUUCAUUAAACCAAGAAACUGUUCUUCCACGGCCAGUUAUAUCACUAAUUAUUACACACAGCGUUACGUAUUUAAUUAAUUUAACGCGAGGAUAACGCGCAUCUCAUUAACGCUCACGGCAUCGAAAGUUAUGCACGACGUUGCACUUCUCUCUGAUAAGUUGCACGCUCAUUCUGAAUUUCAUAACUCGCGUAAGCUCGGGCACGGCUUAAUCGCGGCUCGACAUUCGCGGAACCCGCCACGAUCCAUGGAUUACCUAUCGCGAUCGCUCGAUCAGUACGAAACAUGUACAGUACACGAGUAGAAACAUGUUCCGAACGAUUUCGAACUGUUUCAAGGUGAUAUCACAUUUGCCCUAUAUUCGAAUUUCUGGGUUAACAGGUACUCAUAGGAUCGUUACCAAUUCGUCGUAUCUUGGCACGAUUGUCGUGAAUUAAGUGUAUCAGCAAAUGAUGUCGAAAUCGUAUUUCCUUUUUAACCCAUUAACAUUAGAACUGUCAAACUGGUAUUAGGUUUCUUGUUUUCGCAAUUACUAAAAACAUGCAAGUAUUUAUGAUAAUAUCGAUGUUUACUGUAACAUACUAGUAAGAAUAUAAUCUAUUAAUCUAGUAAUAAUAGUAUCGUAAUUGAUCACAGUCGUUGGAAGCUGUUUGUAUAAAGAUAAUUUUGCAACAAUUUGUUUUACUACUCUUAAUCACCUGGUAUUAUGAAGCGUAUAUGUGCAAGUUAAAUUUCAUUUAAAUUGGUAUUUAUCACAAUCAUUUUUGUUUGCUUAUCGUUUAAUGUUAUUAUAUCAUUGCUGUCGUUAUUAUGCCUUUAUUACAUAUUUACUUCUUGAUUAUAUAUACCGAGAGUUAAACCACACGCGGUUUUUGACAAAACUUUAUGAUAUACUGCCGUGAAGUUUGGCAAUAAAUUAACUGUCGCUUUUAUCUUAGAGCAAUGGAUCUCAUUUAAAAUAGAAAAAUAAAUAAAUAAUAAAAGUAAUUUUUAUAAUUAUAUUUGAAAAUACUACAUAACUACUAGAAACACUACUAAAUAAUACAAAAUAGAAAUUGAAAUGAGAAUGUGAGUAUGGCAUUACUAAUGGAUAUUACCCAAACAUUGUCUAUGAAUUCGCCUAGAAAAUUAUUUAAUUCUAGAAUAAUAAAAAUUUUAGGAAAUUUUUACAAUUUAAGUAAAAGUUGAUUUGUUGAUGUUUACAGUUUGAGAUCUGAAUAUAAAUAAGAGAUGAGAACGAUUUAUUUGAAAAUCGCAUUUAAGAUUCACCGAUACAUGUUGGAAGGAGUGAUUUUAUGGCUAAUAUCCAUUCAAUGAUAAAGAAAAAAGUGACUUUGUAGUAUUCAAGAUCAAUGAUUACAGAAAUAACUAUUUAGUUUCGCCAUUAUGUUUUCCCGCCUCGAUCAGAGAACUUUUACGUAAGUUUUUAUGUUUUCUUAUAUCUUCGAUAGCUAUAGAAAUAAUUGAAUGUAUAUACAUAUCUAUAUCGUACAAUAUUUAUAACCAUUCGCAUAAAUGAUGAUUGCAUUAUAUUAACACGUGUAAACAUUAUAUACCGAGUAAAACUAAUAUAAUUUUCAGAGUUAAUAUGUAACUGCAGAAUUUGAACGAUGCGAAUCGCCAAUACAAACAUAUGAAUACAUACGGUGGAGAGGAUUAACGUUCCAUCUACGACACAUGUGAACGAUCAAUGACGAGAAUUCAUAGUCUUUUUCAAUUUUUCUGCUACUAUGAACGUACAUUUUAUUUUUAUACACUUUUCUCAAAUUCUAAUUAGAUUUACAUACUUCUUAUUACUAAUGGGUAUCUUAUUACUAAUGGUAUUGAUAUUUAGAAAUUAACUGAGAUUUCUCAGACAAGAAAACAUUAAAAUAUUUAUCUUCUGUUGGCAGUAAAUAAUUAGAAAUCACUUUAGAAGUAGGUUUUACCCAUCUAUGCGUGUAUAUAGUUCGAGGGUGACUCGCGCGAAGUUUGUCGCAAACAAAAUGCUCGCACUGAUCACUAAUAUUCACGUGCGAAUACAUUUGACUGCUAGUAACGAAAUUGCACGUCAAAUUUUUCGAUAUAUUUGUUUCGUCUAUCUUUAACCAUUACCUUUUUAUGUUUUUGUUAACAGUAUUUAUUAACGGUUUUGUUAACAGUAUCACGUACUUCAUAAAAUAUUUAUACCAUACAUUACAAUCGAACAUAAACACAUUAAAAAGAACUACAUCUAAGUUGAAAAAAUAUUUACGUCCGUUUAACGACUCAAUUAAAUUCUUAAGUGGGCAAUAUUAAAAGAAAUCACGAGCAACGCUCGACCGAACGGCUUCUAACUUGCACGUUUAAGAAUUUUGCUAUCUGAAAAUAGACUAAUUGACUUAUGUAAUUCGGUAAACUCGGUCCCUCGGUUUUCAAGUGGGAACGGAACUGUACGAUUUCCACGACAAAACUGUGCACGCAUUACGCGAAAGGAUCUUUGAUCUCGCCGGUUACACAUCCGUGACAACGUGUUAUAUACACCCUUAUCGCCAGGCGCAUUUGUCUCGAGGGACUCUUUCACAAGGGGACGGAUGCAGCCAGCCGAACGAUUAGCGAGCAGCAUCCGGCGCCGAUCUAAAAGCCCCCUUUCUAUGUAUAUGUAAGCAUCGAAGAGCCGGAUUACAACCGCGGAGAUUUCAGCGGCAAACAUACCGAUUCUCGAGUGGCCAGAAAUGGGAGGAUCCCACUCGACGAUGAUUGACGUUUAUUAUACGUUCGUAAAUCAUCCUGGCAAAUGUCCACAAAUGCGUGCACCAAAAAACAAAAUCUCCUCUAGUUCCAGGAUCUCGAAAGAAUCAUAGAUAUUUCGAAAAGAAGCUCCGGUCAAAGAAAAUUGGCGCAGGGCGGAGCCUAGAGUUUUCGUGCUCGGAAAAGCGCAGGCGAUAUCGCUUCCUUCGGGUUACCGGCCCUCUGAUCAAUAUUAAUACGUGACACCGGCGAGAGGGUGAACUGGUAAGACACACACAUACACACCACAGUGUAUCAAGCGAAGCAUGAAUUGAAAAAAAGGAGCGGAAGGAGAGGGAGGACGGAAGAAAAAUUAUCACGCGUUCAAUCACACUUGGAAUGGUACAUAAGAUAGAUGAACAACGAUAGGGCACACAAGCAGUGAGUAAAGGAAAGAAAAGUAAAGUAGACCAGAGUGGGUACGAGCGAAGAGAUAGGCUGUUGAUAAGUGUAU